rnacentral:rRNA from 1 species
GGUGAACGCUGGCGGUAGGCCUAACACAUGCAAGUCGAACGGCAGCACAGUAAGAGCUUGCUCUUACGGGUGGCGAGUGGCGGACGGGUGAGGAAUACAUCGGAAUCUACUUUUUCGUGGGGGAUAACGUAGGGAAACUUACGCUAAUACCGCAUACGACCUACGGGUGAAAGCAGGGGAUCUUCGGACCUUGCGCGAUUGAAUGAGCCGAUGUCGGAUUAGCUAGUUGGCGGGGUAAAGGCCCACCAAGGCGACGAUCCGUAGCUGGUCUGAGAGGAUGAUCAGCCACACUGGAACUGGGACACGGUCCAGACUCCUACGGGAGGCAGCAGUGGGGAAUAUUGGACAAUGGGCGCAAGCCUGAUCCAGCCAUACCGCGUGGGUGAAGAAGGCCUUCGGGUUGUAAAGCCCUUUUGUUGGGAAAGAAAAGCAGCAGGUUAAUACCCCGCUGUUCUGACGGUACCCAAAGAAUAAGCACCGGCUAACUUCGUG